GGAAUCUUGCGCAAUGGGCGAAAGCCUGACGCAGCGACGCCGCGUGAGCGAUGAAGGCCCUCGGGUUGUAAAGCUCUGUGGAGAGAGAAGAAUAAGUGCAAGCCAAUACCUUGCAUGAUGACGGUAUCUCUUUAGCAAGCACCGGCUAACCCUGUGCCCGCAGCCGCGGUAAGACAGAGGGUGCAAACGUUGUUCGGCAUCCCUGGGCGUAAAGCGCGUGUAGGUGGCUUGGCAAGUCGGGCGUGAAAUCCCGGGGCUCAACCCCGGAAGUGCACUCGAAACUGCUUCGCUAGAGUCCUGGAGAGGAAGGUGGAAUACUUGGUGUAGAGGUGAAAUUCGUAGAUAUCAAGUAGAACACCGGUGGCGAAGGCGGCCUUCUGGACAGUGACUGACGCUGAGACGCGAAAGCGUGGGGAGCA
rnacentral:rRNA from 1 species